CGAACGCUGGCGGCAGGCCUAAUACAUGCAAGUCGAACGGCUCUUCGGAGCAGCGGCGGACGGGUGAGUAACGCGUGGGAAUGUGCCCUUUGGUACGGAACAACACAGGGAAACUUGUGCUAAUACCGUAUGUGCCCUUCGGGGGAAAGAUUUAUCGCCAUUGGAGCAGCCCGCGUUGGAUUAGGUAGUUGGUGAGGUAAAGGCUCACCAAGCCUACGAUCCAUAGCUGGUCUGAGAGGAUGACCAGCCACACUGGGACUGAGACACGGCCCAGACUCCUACGGGAGGCAGCAGUAGGGAAUCUUGCGCAAUGGGCGAAAGCCUGACGCAGCCAUGCCGCGUGUAUGAUGAAGGUCUUAGGAUUGUAAAAUACUUUCACCGGGGAAGAUAAUGACGGUACCCGGAGAAGAAGCCCCGGCUAACUUCGUGCCAGCAGCCGCAGUAAUAC
rnacentral:rRNA from 1 species